ensembl:lncRNA
GAGUGGCGGUGGGCUCUGGCCCCUGCCAGCAAGAGACGGUUUCCUGAGGAUGUUGACCACGACCUCUUCCUGGCUGGGAUGAUACUGCUUGAGUCCGAGUCCUACAAAGACUCGCUUAGAGACCCCGUGGUCUGGGUUCUCUGGGAGCACAGUGUUGAGAGGCGCCGUCUUCCGGAUGGGGACGCACCAAGGGGAUGGCAACUGGAAUCUGCCCUCAUACGUCCAGGGGCCCCUCCGGAUGUGGUACCCAGGACCAGCCACAGUGAUGAGAAUUCCCAGAUGCCCAUGCUUACCACCAGGUUUUACCAGGAGGCUUUCGAGUUUCAGGACUGCCUAGGUCACCUUUGGACUUCAGAGCAGGGUAAGUGUUUACUAACCCAGCAACCGUGUGACUGAUGUAUGAUUUAUUUCUCUAUUUCAUAUAAACUCAUCACGUGUGUUUCUCUCUGAGGAUGGCUGCACACGCAUUCAGGGUGGCUCUAUCUGCUGACAUCUCCCUUGUGUGUUCCCGUGAGGCUGGAGGAGGCUGCAGGAAUGCCGAAGUGUACUGCCAUCUUUCCAGCAGGACAUGGUCUACUGCUGAGAGAGACAGGGGGCAAGAGACCAGGACGAAAUUACAUCCUGCUUGGACACCACCUCCCGGCAGUCUCUGAGGGCACAAGUUAAGAUGCUGAAUUAAGAGAUGACAGCAUAUUCUAUCAUCAUCUCCCUUGGGUUCUCUGAGGGUCAGAAUUCUCAGGACACAGCUUGGAGAAAAAGGUAGCAGGGACUAACCUCUCACUCCCUUUCGAAACCAGAUUCCUCAAGGUAGGUGUAAAUGCUAUACAAAUAUAUACAGAUAGAUUUGCACAGCAGAUGUUGGUACAUAUAUUACAUACAUAGUUGUGAAGCAGCAACAGUUAAAUGCGAAGUUAACGUGAAGGAAACCGUGACAGUCCAGGUGAAAUUAGUCUGAGGGAGGGGGCAAAGUGGCUUCUGUAGGAACGCAGAUUCUGCCUGUGGACACGGGGUCACGGUCACGAGGCUUACGAUGCACUGAUACACGUCGAGAAGGCAGCACACAGAGGCCUGUCACCAACGCCGUGAGGCUCUACCGUCACUCGUACAAACACAAAGCCGACCACUGAAAAGACAUGCGUCCUGAACAUGCGCUGCUCUGCGCGCAACACCUUUAACGAAGGGGAGGGGUCUAAACGAGAGGUUUUCUUGGACGAUUCUGCACCAACAGAAAGCUCGCCUUUCCUAUAACACAUACAAGCUCACAUCCUAACGCUACAGCUUUGUCCCUGACGUGCUGAAAACACUCUGGGGACAGGGGCGGGGGGUGUGAACGCAGAUGUAUAUACACUGUUCGUUAAGGCUUCGAUAAAUUAAAAAAAAAAGUGGUCCAAAGUAUAUCACAUUUUUCUUCCCAGUUUUAAAAUCUAAAGUACAAAGUGGAGUUUAUUACGGUUUAUUUUAAAAAGCACAUCUCGGACCUAAAAUUGGCAGUUUGACUUACCAGGGUGUACCCCAAAGUCUGAAUAAGACAGAGGUAGUGCAGGACCUCCUGGGGGUCGGAGGAGGGUCCCCUGCACGGCUUCGCCCCCUGCCGGCAGGGCAGGAGACGACACCGGGGUCCACCAGGGCUGCGGAGUCAGAGUGAGGAGGCCCAGCGCACCGCUGGGCAAGGGCUUGAGGACUGGUUAACCCAGGCGUGCUCUAUGGAUCCUGACAUUUCAGAGGCAAGAUACAAGACUUAGAAAAACAGCGGAGUCACGUGAGAAACAAUUAGUAACUGCGAGGACAAUUAGUAGUUUGCGGCACAUAAGCUUGGUUUUCAAGGGGGCCAGUUUGGACCUGGCAAGGUCACACAGCAACGGUCCAUGCUGUCCAUUGAACAGUGUGA